rnacentral:rRNA from 1 species
UGGGGAAUAUUGCACAAUGGGCGCAAGCCUGAUGCAGCAACGCCGCGUGAACGAUGAAGGUCUUCGGAUCGUAAAGUUCUGUUGCAGGGGAAGAUAAUGACGGUACCCUGUGAGGAAGCCCCGGCUAACUACGUGCCAGCAGCCGCGGUAAUACGUAGGGGGCUAGCGUUAUCCGGAUUUACUGGGCGUAAAGGGUGCGUAGGUUGUCCUUCAAGUCGGUGGUUAAAGGCUACGGCUCAACCGUAGUAAGCCGCCGAAACUGGAGGACUUGAGUGCAGGAGAGGAAAGUGGAAUUCCCAGUGUAGCGGUGAAAUGCGUAGAUAUUGGGAGGAACACCAGUAGCGAAGGCGGCUUUCUGGACUGCAACUGACACUGAGGCACGAAAGCGUGGGUAGCAAACAGGA